rnacentral:rRNA from 1 species
UAGGGAAUCUUCCACAAUGGGCGAAAGCCUGAUGGAGCAACGCUGCGUGUGUGAUGAAGGGUUUCGGCUCGUAAAACACUGUUGUAAGAGAAGAAUGACAUUGAGAGUAACUGUUCAAUGUGUGACGGUAUCUUACCAGAAAGGAACGGCUAAAUACGUGCCAG